GUUAAUGAAUUCUUGAAUUUAAAAACGUGCAAAGGAUAAUGGGAGAUAGAAUAAUUAAAUGAAGAUUAUUAAAUUAAUGACUUGUUUUAGAAAGGAAAAAAAUCUCCUAGAACCAAUAAAAAGAACAAAUGGGAUUUGAAAGAUUUUGCAAUGCAUUUAAGCAAAUAGCCAAAAAAUUGAAAACCAAAAGAAUGCAAUGGAAUUAGAGGAUAAAGAGACCUUGGAAUCUUUUCAAGGAUCUAGCAACUUUUCUAGCACAAGCUUCACAAUGCAUAUCAACCUUUAGCACUAUCUCUUCUUCCUUCUUCUCUUUCUCCUUGUUUUCUUCCACUUUCUUCUCCUAUAUGUUCAAAGAAAAUAAGAAACAAAAACAUAGCUAGAGUACCUACAUUGAUAUAUAAUGUUAUAAAUAUAAAUAGUGUUAAUAUAAAGAGGUUAAACUUAAUUACCUCACCCAUAUUAAUGCAGCUCUUUAAACAAUGCUGAUUUUCAAUGAAUUUGAAACUCUGCAAAUGAAAAACCUCUCUAUUUUAGUCUCUAUUGUUGUUUUACUGCUUUUGGUUGGGCAAAAUGAGAAGAAAGCACAUUUAAGU
rnacentral:lncRNA from 1 species